rnacentral:misc_RNA from 1 species
GAUGAAGAACGCAGCGAAAUGCGAUAAGUAAUGUGAAUUGCAGAAUUCAGUGAAUCAUCGAGUCUUUGAACGCACAUUGCGCCCCCUGGUAUUCCGGGGGGCAUGCCUGUCCGAGCGUCAUUGCUGCCCUCAAGCACGGCUUGCGUGUUGGGCCCCCGUCCCCGGUUUCCCCCGGGGACGGGCCCGAAAGGCAGCGGCGGCACCGCGUCCGGUCCUCGAGCGUAUGGGGCUUUGUCACCCGCUCUGUAGGCCCGGCCGGCGCCAGCCGACACCCAACUUUAUUUCUAAGGUUGACCUCGGAUCAGGUAGGGAUACCCGCUGAACUUAAGCAUAUCAAUAAGCGGAGGA